rnacentral:tRNA from 1 species
GCGGGAGUAGCUCAGUUGGUAGAGGAUCACCUUGCCAGGUGUCGGUCGGAGGUUCGAGUCCUUCCUCCUGCUCGA